GCACUCACGGGAGACCGCCAGCGACAAGUUGGAGGAAGGUGGGGACGACGUCAAGUCAUCAUGGCCUUUAUGUCCAGGGCGACACACGUGCUACAAUGGACGGNACAACGGGUCGCGAAACCGCGAGGUGGAGCUAAUCCCUAAAAACCGCCCUCAGUUCGGAUCGCAAGCUGCAAUUCGCCUGCGUGAAGCCGGAAUCGCUAGUAAUGGCGCAUCAGAACGGCGCCGUGAAUACGUUCCCGGGCCUUGNACACA
rnacentral:rRNA from 1 species